rnacentral:lncRNA from 1 species
GAUGUUCCAACCCUGCGAUUCUUCUACAACAUCGGCUGUGACUAUUUUCGGACAUAUGGCACCACUGUGCAACCAUGUGUGUUCCCAUCAGUACAGGGAUACAACGGAAACUUCAGCCUCACAAUUGUGCCAUAUGUGGCUGACACCAGCAUAGUUAUGCCUGAUGUCAGAUGCAGUGUGUCAGAGACGCCAGCAACCACAAACAGUUUCAGUGAAGAAGACAACUCCCUGUCCUCUUCACCUGGCUUUGGCACUGUUGGAAAUGCAUCACCAUCCCACAGCUAUGAAAUGGCAUCACCAGUUGUUGUGCAACCUCAGAAUUGACUGCACUGUGAUAAUGUUUGGUAGGUCGGGAGUGUUCUACAUGUGGUACGCAUGCACAAGUUUCCGGGUUACUCUCACCCUAGUCUUCUGAAAAAUUCUGUUUUGCAGCAGCAUAA